CGGGAAGUGAGCUGUCCUCCCGCUGCGCUCGCUGGGUGAUGCGUCCCCUGGCGUGUGUCCACAUUUGAAUGCACGGCUCUCUCUAAAUUUAGCUCUCCGAUCCCGCUGGGACUCACUGCGGGCACCAUCGCCCCCUCUGCUCACCUGGCAGAGCUGUGUAGUUUUGGCGUCAGGAGAAGCCGGUAGGGAGGCAUGCACGCAGAGAAGGCCACGGGCCGCCACACGCACGGACCGUCUUCACAAUCUGGGCCCCGUGCACAGAGAGCUGGCCUCUGCCUCCUGCUUCCCGGAGCCUGGGGUCGGUGGGAACCACCUACCUCCUGCCUACGAGGCUGGCAGCAGGCGUGCGACAGGGCUUCCAGCCUGGCCGACCUGGAGGUGGGAAAGAGCGGCAGGGUGUGGGCUGAACCCGGCAGACUGGAUUUAAGAGGCCCAGAGGCGUGACUUCAGUGCUGGGACCAGUGCUCGGGAGUCUACUGGGCUGGAGAGGCUGAUCAGCAUACAAAUGAUGGCUGGAAGUGUGAACAGGAGGCCAGUUGUAAAUGUCUAGCCUGGAGCCCAACUCCUGCCUCAGCACCAUCACGUGGACACACGGACGUGCCCGUUGGGAUCAGCGCUUCCCGUCACCGGGGCAGACACCUCACAGGAAACACCCUCACCAGGCCCACUUGUGAAUGACUGCAGGGAGGACGAAAUUAACACAUCCCCUCCGGAGGCUGAUGGGAACCCGGGAAUGCUUGACUUUACUCCCUCCCGCUUGGGUAUAAAAGGAGCCUAGAAGAUUAAGGGAAGUAAAAUGUUCUAAAACAAAACAAAACAAAAAGGGCCUGAAUUCUAACUCAGGCAAGAAGGUUCUUUGGGACACGAGCCCACCAUC